AUGUACUCAAGUAAAUGUAACGAAGUAAAUGUAACUCAUUACUACCCACCUCUGGGUAGAGUUGAGUGUCAUCAGCAUAGCAGUGAUAUGAAAAGCAAUGUUUGUCUACCCGACAAAAUGGAUGAACUGCUUCUGCUCUCCCAGACAAAUAAGGAUUUAUCACACUCUCCUGCUCUGUUUUUUUUUAUGGAAACUUGGCUAAACGACAGCGUGCUCCAUCUACCGGACUUUCAGCUGCUCAGAGCGGACCACGACGCAGAAUCAACAGGGAAAUCACACAGCGGUGGGACAUGCUUUUACAUCAACAAAAGUGAUGCCAUGUAGACUUAGAUGUGAAGUGGUCCAAGAACUGAGCCCUGAGGCACCCCAGUAGUCAGAUGUCGCGACUUGGACACCUCACCUCUCCAAGAUACCUUAAAGGACCUAUCUGAGAUGUAAGACUCAAACCACUGGAGUGCGGUUCCUGAGAUGCCCUUUUCCAAUAGGGUUAACAGGAGGAUCUGGUGGUUAACCAUGUCAAAAGCAGCGGAUAGAUCCAGCAAGAUAAGUAUUGAUGAUCUGGAAUCCACUCCAGAUUAUAUCUGAUGCAGGCCUUGCUAAUACAAUGUUAUUGAAAUAUAGGAGAAUUAAAACUGCACUGGACCUGACUGCUUAAUAUUAUGGCAUAUGCUGCAGCAUACGCUACCUGUGCUAAAAUAAACAUCUGCAUGCAGAUUUAAAAACUCUUCAUAUUUAGUUAAUGUCAGGGAGGAUUAUUUUCAUUGUUGUCAGUUUUCAAUGAAUAAAAACAUCACAAAGUCACAUUGUUGUUGCUGAGAUUAUGUUAAUUGUUUUCUCAUCACAACCCUGUGCUUAUGCCAAAUCUGCGUGUUCAGUUUUUUUUUUUUUUUUUUUUUUUCUUCAGCCGUGCAUUUGUAUUAUUUUUGGAUGUGUGAACUGUGCGAGGCUGCUGUUGUCUUUGUGGUUGUGAAACUGGUUCAUUCUCUUCUGAUUCUGGUUCAAACAUACAUGUAUGUGAUUGCAUUCAAGUGCCUGUCAUUUUUCCCCAUCUUUAAUUUCAAAAUAGUUCUUCAUGAGGCAAUAAUCCUUAUUUUCUAUGCAAUAAAAUAUAGUCAUAACAGUCGACAUUUACAAAUAAUUCAGAGAGUUUGGAAUAAUAGUCUCAAUUGAAUCCAGUUAAUUUGCUUAAACAAAUGUCUUGUUUAAAAAAUUAUAAUCACUACAUCUUCUAUAUAUAUUAAAUGAACUCAGCUGCUGUUGACAAACAAAUCUGAGUGCAUCGUAAUAGAAAACCUGUUUUGAGAUACAGUACAUUACUUGUUCAAAAAGUUGUGAGAAGUUAGAACUUAGAACAGAAUAGAAAACAAGAAAAACUAAAAUAAACAAGUACAUUUUUGAUUAUUAUUUUACCAUUUUGGGGAAUUAAUACAGUGCAUACUGCUGUAUCUUCAUACAUUCCAUCCUGCUGUGUCUCUCCAUUCAUCUCAGCAUGUCAGGAUUCAUGACUGGAACAUUAUGGAGGUCAUACUUUUACUGCAGCAUAGAUAAGCUUUAUCACGGCACUGCACAUUAUUGGACUAUAGUUUUUUACCCUCUCCAAUUACAGCAGCUGUCCCAUUAUUUUAUCAAUAACAGAUGCCUCCAUUUUGUAAAGCUGAUAUCCCAAAACAGCAAUAUGGUGGCAAACCUCUGUGUCCUGAUAUUAGGCCUACAGCGUAGAGAUUACUGCCACCCAAACAGACUAUUUAAUCACUCCAACUCGCUAUUGACAUAAACGGCUGAUACG
ensembl:lncRNA